rnacentral:rRNA from 1 species
GAGGUUACUGCUAUCGAGGUUCGACUAAGCCAUGCGAGUCGAAUGUAGCAAUACAUGGCGAACUGCUCAGUAACACGUGGACAACCUGCCCUUAGGACGGGGAUAAACCCGGGAAACUGGGUAUAAUACCCGAUAGGUCUCGAUUGCUGGAAUGCAUCGAGAUUUAAAGCUCCGGCGCCUAAGGAUGGGUCUGCGGCCUAUCAGGUAGUAGUGGGUGUAGCGUACCUACUAGCCUACGACGGGUACGGGUUGUGAGAGCAAGAGCCCGGAGAUGGAUUCUGAGACACGAAUCCAGGCCCUACGGGGUGCAGCAGGCGCGAAAACUUUACAAUGCUGGCAACAGCGAUAAGGGAACCUCGAGUGCCAGGUUACAAAUCUGGCUGUCGAGAUGCCUAAAAAGCAUUUCAUAGCAAGGGCCGGGCAAGACCGGUGCCAGCCGCCGCGGUAACACCGGCGGCUCGAGUGGUAACCGUUAUUAUUGGGUCUAAAGGGUCUGUAGCCGGCCGGAUAAGUCUCUUGAGAAAUCUGGCAGCUUAACUGUCAGGCUUUCAGGAGAUACUGUCUGGCUCGAGGCCGGGAGAGGUGAGAGGUACUUCAGGGGUAGGGGUGAAAUCUUGUAAUCCUUGAAGGACCACCAGUGGCGAAGGCGUCUCACCAGAACGGACCUGACGGCAAGGGACGAAAGCUAGGGGCACGAACCGGAUUAGAUACCCGGGUAGUCCUAGCCGUAAACGAUACUCGCUAGGUGUCGGCCACGGUGCGACCGUUGUCGGUGCCGUAGGGAAGCCGUGAAGCGAGCCACCUGGGAAGUACGGCCGCAAGGCUGAAACUUAAAGGAAUUGGCGGGGGAGCACCACAACGGGUGGAGCUUGCGGUUU